rnacentral:rRNA from 1 species
AGUCGAAGGGCAUCGGGGAGAGUGCCUGCACUCUCCGCCGGCGACUGGCGCACGGGUGAGUAACACGUAUGCAACCUGCCCUCCACAGGGGGACAACCUUCCGAAAGGGAGGCUAAUCCCGCGUAUAUCCCCCGGGGGCAUCCCCGGGGGAGGAAGGGAAUACCGGUGGAGGAUGGGCAUGCGGCGCAUUAGGCAGUAGGCGGGGUAACGGCCCACCUAGCCGACGAUGCGUAGGGGUUCUGAGAGGAAGGUCCCCCACACUGAUACUGAGACACGGACCAGACUCCUACGGGAGGCAGCAGUGAGGAAUAUUGGUCAAUGGCCGUAAGGCUGAACCAGCCAAGUAGCGUGAGGGAAGACUGCCCUAUGGGUUGUAAACCUCUUUUAUGCGGGGAUAAAGGUGUCCACGUGUGGAUGUUUGCAGGUACCGCAUGAAUAAGGACCGGCUAAUUCCGUGCCAGCAGCCGCGGUAAUACGGAAGGUCCGGGCGUUAUCCGGAUUUAUUGGGUUUAAAGGGAGCGUAGGCCGGUCUUUAAGCGUGCCGUGAAAUUUUGUGGCUCAACCAUGAGAGUGCGGCGCGAACUGGAGACCUUGAGUGCGCGGAAGGCAGGCGGAAUUCGUGGUGUAGCGGUGAAAUGCUUAGAUAUCACGAAGAACCCCGAUUGCGAAGGCAGCCUGCCGCAGCGUUACUGACGCUGAAGCUCGAAAGCGCGGGUAUCGAACAGGAUUAGAUACCCUGGUAGUCCGCGCGGUAAACGAUGGAUGCCCGCUGUCGGCGAUAUACAGUCGGCGGCCAAGCGAAAGCGUUAAGCAU